rnacentral:tRNA from 1 species
UGCUUCGUGUAGCUCGAGUGGUUAGAGCACCAGUACUCUGUGCUGGCGGUCGCGGGUUCGAUCCCCGCUGGAGCAG